GCGGAGGAAAAGAAAAUAACAAUGAUUUCCCUAGUAACGGCGAGUGAAGAGGAAAGAGCUCAAAGUUGGAACCUGUUUGGCUUAGCUAAACCGGAUUGUAAACUGUAGAAACGUUUUCCUGGCACGCCGGAUAAAUAAGUCCUUUGGAACAGGGCAUCAUAGAGGGUGAGAAUCCCGUCUUUGGUCUGAGCUGUUGCCUUUUGUGAUACGUUUUCAAAGAGUCAGGUUGUUUGGGAAUGCAGCCUAAAUUGGGUGGUAAAUCUCACCUAAAGCUAAAUAUUUGCGAGAGACCGAUAGCGAACAAGUACCGUGAGGGAAAGAUGAAAAGAACUUUGAAAAGAGAGUUAAACAGUAUGUGAAAUUGUUAAAAGGGAACCGUUUGGAGCCAGACUGGCUUGAYUGUAAUCAAUCUAGGUUUCGAUCUGGAUGCACUUGCARUCUAUGCCUGCCAACGACAAUUCUUUUCGGAGGAAAAAACUAGAUUGAAUGUGGCCUCUCGGGGUGUUAUAGCUUUCUAGAAAAUACUCUGGAUGGGAUUGAGGAACGCAGUGAAUGCUYACGCGAGAUUGCUAGGCGCUUUCUUUGAUACAUGCUAGAAUUUCUGCCUCGGGUGGUGCUAAUGUGUAAAGAGGGAACUCGCUUGGUUAAUUUUCUAUUCACUUAGGUUGUUGGCUUAAUGACUCUAAAUGAC
rnacentral:rRNA from 1 species